rnacentral:rRNA from 1 species
GAUCAUGGCUCAGGACGAACGCUGGCGGCGUGCCUAACACAUGCAAGUCGAACGGAGUUACUUAGGACGGAGGAUUCGUCCAAAGAUCUUUGUAACUUAGUGGCGAACGGGUGAGUAACGCGUGAGCAAUCUGCCUCGGAGUGGGGGACAACAGUUGGAAACGACUGCUAAUACCGCAUAAUGUGCCGGUGGGGCAUCCCGCUGGUACCAAAGCUUUAUGUGCUCUGA